CCUACGGGAGGCAGCAGUGAGGAAUAUUGGUCAAUGGCCGAGAGGCUGAACCAGCAAAGUCGCGUGAGGGAAGAAUGUCCUAUGGAUUUUAACCCUCUUUUGUCAGGGAGCAAAGUCACCCACGUGUGGUUGUUGGAGAGUAGCUGAAGAAAAAGCAUCGGCUAACGCCGUGCGAGCAGCCGCGGUAAUACUGAGGAUGCGAGCGUGAUCCGGAUUUCUUGGGUUUAAAGGGUGCGUGGGCGGGUGAUCAAGUCAGCGGUAAAAUCAUGGAGCUAAACCCCAUCCAGCCGUUGAAACUGAUGAUCUUGAGUGGGCGAGAAGUAUGCGGAAUGCGUGGUGUAGCGGUGAAAUGCAUAGAUAUCACGCAGAACUCCGAUUGCGAAGGCAGCAUACCGGCGCCUGACUGACGCUGAAGCACGAAAGCGUGGGUAUCGAACAGGAUUAGAUACCCGUGUAGUC
rnacentral:rRNA from 1 species